UUAAUAUUGGCCGUUGACGCCUCCACCAUUUUAAAAUUAAGCAAGAGUUUUUGUUUAAAAAAAACAAACAAAACAAAAAUAUUUUUGAGGGAUCGGUUUCAGUCGUUCCAACCCAGAGUGUACGCAUUUCCUAAUUACUGUAUAAACAGAUUUUUAUAGGCUUACCUACCUGCUUCAGUUUUCGUUUCCUGAGGUCAAAUUGCUUCCUUUCCGAUGGCGACGUAAAACUAAAAUACGGGGAUAAUUAGCUGAAUUACGAAGUGACACUUUAAACAAUUUAAUUUUAUACUUGUUUGAAGCUGGCAACAGAUGUUAUCCGGUAACAUAUGGAAUAUCCAAUUGCUUCAAUAGCAACGUGAACUUAAUAGUUACCUUCAUGUUUGGAAAGAAGUGACUUUCAACUGGGGUGGCCAGAAGCGUUUUGAGGACAGAAUUACCGGCCCUCUGACCCGGCUCUGCCGACAGCGCUGACUUGAUGAAACGGAGCGCACUGGCCCGGCGCCAUCCCCUCGACCCCGAGUCUGCACUUCCUCUCGGUCAGAAGGAGUGGAAGCCGAUGGUGGCGCUCAGCGCGCCUGCAGGCUUCUCUGUCCUUAUCGUCGGCUUCUUAAUGCCAGCUCGAGGUGCGCCUCCUCUCAUUGCCCCCACCAACACUUUUUUUUUAAUGAUGUGACUUUUUCUGUGCCUCAGCCGCCCAUUAAAAAGCCUUAAUGGGUUGCUGAAAGGGAGGUUUUCUGUUGGAGGUUCUUUAAAAGAGCUGGACCCUGACUACCCUGCAGUAUACCAUAUGGUACGGUUUUCCGCAAUGCAUAUUUCUUACUGUGGGCACAGUGUUUUUGGCAUACUCUUGUAUGAGGCUUAAGGAAUUACCAGUGCCAAGUGAGGUCCUGCAAUCAUGACAUCACUAGCGCAAUAUAAAUACAUGCUGUAUGACAUCAUAGACCAGUCAUGUAGCUUCUAGCCUUAAACCAGCAGUAGUUAAAAAAUCCACAAAUAGACCCAAAACAACAGUGGUCCUGUGGGCUCAGUCUGACUUUCUGCAAUCAUGUUGAAGCGUAAUUACAUUAAACUCAAUGGACAAAAAGCUUUUUCAAUAAAACAGAUGUUGUAGGGGUGUUUGGGACUGAAAGGCAGGUACCUUACCUAAUUUGAACUGCGGCGUCUCUACGGGCCGCAGGCCGUAGGUCCCACCCUCUGAUUAUCUCCUGGGGAACUGUGGAAGCAGCGAGGAUCGCCUCUCAGGCUUAGAAUGGGAAAUGCAGCAGGGAUCAUGUCUCAGGUCAGGAGUUUGUGAAAAGCCUCCUAAAUAAGAAUGCUAGAGGCUCAGGUUAUGCCCAUUUCCUGGGAGCAGGUGGAUCAGAUGAUCGGAUCUCGGUUUUGGAUUAUCUGUGCUUCCUGAGUUCAGGUUGGUUUUAAUCAGGCACCAGGAAUUUGUUUUCAUGUGGGCCGGGACCAACAGUUUUAACUUAUCUCUGAAUUUCAUCAAAUAAAAUGCCUGUUUUGCUUUUUUAAAAAGCUCAAAACUUAAUGACCCUGGAGUGAGCUGCAGGCAUUUGAGCCUUUCGAGACAGAGGUGAAAUACCUGCUCCAAAUUUCUUUAAUGAGUGUGAAUCGCCACUAUUCAUGGACUUUUUGGAAUGUUUUUUUAAAAAGUAUUUAGACAUGGCCGGGGCCUAAAAUUAGAACGGCUCUUCCCCGAGUCUUCAUGUUAAAAUUAGGAGGUGUCAGAAUUCCAGGGCAAUUCUUAAGUUACUGUCGAUAAAUGGUUAAGGAGUUCUCUUAAAGGUGCAGGCGUGCGUGUGUGUUCACAUGGAUGCAAUCGUGUGUUUGUGAGUUUAGAAUUGAACACAGUCACUUGAGAGAAAAGCAGGCAUCCUUUUCUGUCCCCAGGGGUAAAAACAUAGUGCCUUUAAAGCUCUACUCCUUCGCAGUGGCGGUAUUUCCCUCUUCUAGCCCACUAGCCUCAAAAAACCGACCCAAAUGCCAUACAUAAGAUCACAAGACAGGAGCGGCUGAAGAGAGGGUGCAAGGGGCAGAUGGCUGUCAGUGAAACAGAGAGAAUUGAAUUACAGUGAAUGAAUGGCACUUUUACAAUGAGGUGCAGCCAGUAAGGAAAGAGAUAAGUGUGAACUUUGAGACUUCCUGCAAGACUUGCCAUCAUUUCUGAAAGAGACCAUCAGCC